UGGUGGGUAGUUUGACUGGGGCGGUCUCCUCCUAAAGAGUAACGGAGGAGCACGAAGGUUGGCUAAUCCUGGUCGGACAUCAGGAGGUUAGUGCAAUGGCAUAAGCCAGCUUGACUGCGAGCGUGACGGCGCGAGCAGGUGCGAAAGCAGGUCAUAGUGAUCCGGUGGUUCUGAAUGGAAGGGCCAUCGCUCAACGGAUAAAAGGUACUCCGGGGAUAACAGGCUGAUACCGCCCAAGAGUUCAUAUCGACGGCGGUGUUUGGCACCUCGAUGUCGGCUCAUCACAUCCUGGGGCUGAAGUAGGUCCCAAGGGUAUGGCUGUUCGCCAUUUAAAGUGGUACGCGAGCUGGGUUUAGAACGUCGUGAGACAGUUCGGUCCCUAUCUGCCGUGGGCGCUGGAGAACUGAGGGGGGCUGCUCCUAGUACGAGAGGACCGGAGUGGACGCAUCACUGGUGUUCGGGUUGUCAUGCCAAUGGCACUGCCCGGUAGCUAAAUGCGGAAGAGAUAAGUGCUGAAAGCAUCUAAGCACGAAACUUGCCCCGAGAUGAGUUCUCCCUGAGACUUAGAGUCUCCUGAAGGAACGUUGAAGACGACGACGUUGAUAGGCCGGGUGUGUAAGCGC
rnacentral:rRNA from 1 species